rnacentral:misc_RNA from 1 species
AGAAGAAUGAGAAACAAGAAGCUGAUAGAAAGAAGGCAAAGCGGCCACGAAGAAAGGGAAAGGAUGGAAAAAAGAUUUUGGAGACUAGUAAUGAGCAAAACAAAAUGAUCCAAGUUCGCAAAGCCAUAAGUAUUAAAAAUGGUGAAGCUCAAAACGGUGGUCAAAAGAAUGGGGAUCAAAUAAGAAAAUACUCUAGAGAGGAGAUGGAGGCCCUGCGGUUUGUGAAUAUUGUAGACCAGAGAAAGUUGUGG